UAUUAUCUUAAACAUUUGUUCACUGUGGCCAAGAUGAAGCAAGUGUUUUGGAUUGCGUUUGCUUUGAAUUUUCAACCGCCAUCUAUUGAAAAAGAUUGUUUAAAAUCGGGAAACUCAUCUGAAUGUUGUGCAGACUUCUUUCUGAAAGCAGGAAAAUGCAUCCCUUGCCAGAAUGGAUAUUUUGGAAUAAACUGCAUUUUUAAAUGCCCGUAUCCUAGAUACGGCCGUAAGUGUAUGGAAGGUGAUUGCAAUUGUGCAGAAGAGGUCUGCGACGUAGGAAUUGGAUGUGUUACUGUAAAAGAAAGGCAGAAAUCUUUUGACAACAUUUCCUUUCAAAGAAGCAAACUAAAGAAGACCAACAAUUCAUUUGUUAAUGAACAUAAAAUGCAACGCAAUGAUUCCAUAACGAUAGAUUCCUCAUCAUUGUGGGUGUUUGUAUUACCGAUUGCUUCUCCCUUUAUUGUUUUUUCACUCGUUCUCGUUAUACUAGUGUUUCGAGUCGUCAGAUAUAAAAUUAAACCACAUAAUCAACGCAAUUCUUCAAAACGAGUGUUCAAAGUAACUAGUCUAUAUCAAGUGCCCACCUAAUAUGAUAUUGAUGAAAAAUACAAGAAAGGAACAAAAUUCAACAUACUAAUUGAACUUAGAAAUUAUGAAUCAAUUGACCAAUCGCAAGAUUGAGCAAAAUACACCGAGUAACCUGCAAGAAAGGAUGACGAUUUUGAUAUUGAUAACACUGAACUUUCCUGAUUAAUCAAAUAAGAUUGUAAAGCAUAUUUAGAAAUACGAAUCUAUUUCAGAAAUGACACAAUACACGGUUUUAUCCAAAAGUUAUCUCACACAAUUGUCGCGUUUUUCCUUAAUGCUGUAUGAACAAAUUAUGAUAUAUCAAAAUUCACACUGGUAUUUUAUAUUCAAAUAAAAAUUCUUAAAAUUCUUAUCAAUUAUGAUAUAGUUUGGAAUGUUAUAUAUAUCUAACAUCGCCAUGUCAUAAUUCAACGAGUAAGUUUUUUUAAAGAAAAAAUGUCAAACCUGAAAAUAUUUGGAAUACUCCUAACUAUAGAAUAUUAUAGAACAUAUCAAAUACACUAAUCUUUCAUAUACGAUGAAGAGUAAUGAUUUGUUUACUGAAAAAUAUACUAGUUAUUAUUUUUUAUAGAGCAAUACGGCCAAUACAUGUAUUUUGUAAAAGACUCAAAUAUUAAUUUGAGACAAAACGUUUCAAUUUUAGUUAUGUGCUCUUAAAUGGAAAAUCUUGCAGAGCACACCGAUUAGAAGCCAAAUAAUUAAUUCAAUAUAUUUAGGAUCAGUAUA